rnacentral:miRNA from 1 species
CUUGGAUAAACUUCUUUGAUCAUUU